GAAGCAAAGGCCACAGGCACAGACUGUUGUGGUUGGAGGGAGAAGAGAAAGGAGGAAGGGAGGGCAGCGGGCAGGGAGGGAGGAGACAGAAAAUAAAGGCCGGGCAUUGUCCAGCUCUCCCUCCACGCACCCAAGUGGAUUUGCAAAGACGAAACCUCUUGCCUCCAACCUCCACGUCCAUAAGAACACUUCCCAGGCCAAAGUUUAGCUAAAUGGAGGAAAUCAAGAAAUGCAAGGAACUCUGUGCAGGGACUAAAAAUUAUUUACCAAUAAGUCUGCCUGCAGCUUUUAUUUUAUUUAUGUAUUUUUAAAGAUUGUAUUUAUUUACUCAUGAGAGACCCAGAGAGAGAGGCAGAGACACAGGCCGAGGGAGAAGCAGGCUCCAUGCAGGGAGCCUGAUGCAGGGACUCCAUCCCGGGACCCCGGGGUCACGCCCUGGGCCCAAGGCAGACCCCUCAACCGCUGAGCCCCCCCAGGGGCCCCUACCUACAGCUUUUAAUGACAGGUUUUUAUUUGGAAGCUCGGACAGGCCUCGUUUCUGCAGGAACCCACGUGGUAACGAAGCAGACACGCUAAGCGAAGGAGGAGGCGUGCAGACAGCGGGCUGGCGUGGGGUGGGGGGCGCCCACAGCAGCAAAGCUCUCCGGAAUCUUCUUACAACUCAGGGGCCCGGUGGGAAGCUGAAAAAAGCAGAAAGAAAUAGCAUGGACGGUAUUGAUGACGGUCUGGCUCCCUGGAGAACAGCUAAGGAGAAACUGCAACACCAAUGUGGGCUCCAGCCAAGGGGGAGAAGACACCCUAAAAGUUGUUUCUUCAACAAGGAAAGCGUACCCUGGGAGCACAUCCUGUCCCAGGAGAAAUGCUGACGGGUAAGCCAGCCCCGCGGAAGAACAGACUGACUCGGACUCCGCGGCGUGUCCCCUGCUGGAGCUCCCGAGUAUCACCCGAAGACAGCAUCUGCUUCUGCUCCCAAGAGCAGCACCGAGCACUUCCCCACCUAUUCUGGAGUCGAGGCUGGCUGUCAGAAUGAAGGGUUGGAGAAGCAGAAGCCAGAGCACACCUGAGCCCUUGGGGCUCAGGACCCGGAGGGUAGCCCGGGCUGCACAGGGAUGGGGGCCCCAAGGGGGGUGAACAGUGCCUGCCUGACCUGCUCCCUGAGGUCAGCAGCCCAAAGAGGGGAGGACCUAACCUGUUCCUGGUCACCAGCCCCUGGAAGGACAAAAGGGCCCCCCAAGCCCAGGAAAUCGUGAUGUAAAUCCCGGGUCAGGUUUAAGGCUUCGGCAUUCUUUUUCUAAGAGAUUAGAAUGGCCCGCUACUUUCCCAACUGCAAGGCUGGAGUGCAGAAGGCCAGAACCUGGUGUGCUGGUCACAGUCGGGGAUCGCACUAGAAGGGUCCGGCACUCUCCCCAAUCUGGGUUUUGCAAUUCAGUACAGGCUGAUAUGGAGAGGCAGGUACCGGUGGGCUCACCGCACUCCAGGUAGGGGCAAAGCACACGGUUUAAGAAAAGGGACCGUUUUCCAUCCUCCCUCCAGGCAAAUGAACGUGACCCUUCCAUGGAAGCCUCGCCUUUUUCAAUGAACAGGUACCAGGCCCUGAAAUGCCUCCCCUCUUGCAGAGGACAAUUCCGGAUUGGGCUGCGGAUGCGGCUCUGGAAGCAGCUUCCUAAUUGAAAUCAGACCAGCACACCAGUUCCAGGUGAGGAGGAUGCGCUAUCUUUUGCGACGUUAGGCCUCGAGAAAAGGAAUCUGCCCUCAGACAACAAGGACAGAAAAUGGAAAAGAAAUGAAGUUUCAUAUAUAAGGAUCUGAGCUGCUGCUCUCAGGUGUCUUCUGUACCAUUCUGGAAGAUCUCUGCACUGCCUUUCUUUCAGAGCCAGUAAAAUGCAUGAUGAAAUUUUCUAAAUGUCUCAUGUCUACAAAACCGCUUUGAAGAUCAAGUUACAUCUUUUUCUUAUUAUGAAAAAAAUCAAGGGUUCUUGCAGCAAAGGUGAAAUUUUUGCCAUGGUUGAAAAAAACUCAAUGAAUUUCAGACUAUGGAACAGAUGCUGCGGAAAACAUCACAGACACAGACAUGAAGUCUCAGAAAGGCUAAGGGACUCGUCCAGAGUCAGAGAGCAAGAUCACAGCCAAGCCGGGAGUCAAGUAUGCGUAUCCUGACGUCCAAGCCUUUUCUUUCCAAAAGGACGACUGCAGAAGCCAAGGAGGCUACCACAGGGCCUCCUGACCCCAGAGCUGUGUGAUCUAGGCGCUUCCCUCCUACACCUAUACCCACGCAGCAAACGGAAACUGUGUUUUUAUCAUCCAUUAAGUGGUGUCAUCUCAAGUGACCUAAAGGGUCUCUGAUUCUUAAUCCAGAUGUUGCUCAGAUUCCGGAAGCCAAGGAUGGGCUGCAAGAGAAGCAAUGUAAGCCCAAGGUCUCAGGUUACCUGUUCGGGGCAGUGACGGCAGAAAUAUGGACUCCCAUCCACUCAGGCUAAUACUGCUGAUGGUUCAUCCUCUCUUAGAGAAAGAGCGGAGCGGCAAGCCUGUCUUACCUACAGAACGCUGUAGAGCGGCCGCAGGGAUCUCCAACACAGAGCGUCCGGCGAAUGUCCUCUCCUUGGCUCCUCUGGUUUGCCCCUCGUGGGAAACUCCAAAGGAUGGAUGAGAUGAAAACCCUCGCACACUACCCUGGAAGUCUUCGCACCGGGUGGCAUCACCACCCCGAGCAACCCUUGCUGCGCUGUAACCAGUAGUCCCCCGUGCACGUGCAGAGAACGUGCAGAGAACGGUCUCCAAGUGGAGGGUACACAAUUUUUUUUUUUAAUGACAGUGAUUUCAUAUUUACUAAGUCCCUACUAUGCUGGGUCCCUCACGAUGCAUGGAAACAGCACAGCCCCUGGGCUCCACUGUAAUGGAAUCCGAGGUCAGAAACAAACAUUUCGUGACCAUCCUUGUAUUUCUUCAGAACUGCUGCACCGGCAUAAGCAUGCAGUAACGCACGUAACUACCAGCAGUAAGGUAGUGAGCUGUUUAUACAGAGCUCCUUCCUUCUGUUCUAGAUUAACACCCUUGUUUAAAAAAGAAAAAAAUGCUUUCCUUUUCCUUAGAACCAUUUUCUUUUCAUCUCUCCUCCGAGAAGUGAGAUAAAAAGGGAGAAGAAGAAGAUGCCCUUCCCAUCAUGUCACAUCAGAGAUCGCUCAAGGUGGUAACUUUGAGAAGACGUCAGAGGAAAUGAAGGGGCCUUGAAGCUGUCCCAGCACCAAGGACUUGAAUGGGGGGUAAAAAAAAAAAAAAAAAAAAAAAAAAACCACUUCUGCCUCUGUGUUCGGCUCUUCCCUUUCUCCCCAGCUCAGACACCUGUCAAUCACCCCGGGUUUGCCCAAGUGACGCACCACAUCCUUGAUCACAGAACGUCAGCCCUCAAGCACCGCCACAUCAGCCGAGUGCCUGGGCACCUAGCGUGGAGUGAGGCUGCCUACGGCGCUGCCUCAGACUUAAGAGCCCAUCAGGACUCCCAAGGGGCUGUCAGUUCUGGCUCCUUCAACACCCGUUUCUCCCGCGCCGUCAAGAGAGCCGAGUGUGAGCAGACAGUGCAGAAGCCCCAGGGGUAGGAAAGAAGGGCAAGAGGAGGUCAAGAACAUUACCAACUGUGCCAACGGCAACUGUCCCGGUCCAUCCAUCUGCCAGAUUUCUUCCUGGCUACAGGGGCAGGAGGCCCUUUGGGUUGAAAAGAGUCUUGGACAGAAGCACUCCCAGUUCACUCAUCCCUCCGCUGCAACGCCGGCGCUAGGACUAAGAUCCGUGCAAACCAGACAGCCACCAUCUACUGACUGCUCAGAUAUGCUCCUUGCAUAUUGUAACAUUAAUUCUGAUCGUCAACAAGAGCUACAUGAUGAAAUUCACUGGUUACGUUGAGACACGAAGUACAGAGAAUUUAAGUCACUGGGCCAAAGCCAUGGCUGGUGAGUGGCAAAGUGGACAUUCAAACCCAGGUGCACCUGGAAUCCAAGUUCAUCUUCUCGGCCCCCAAGGACCACCAAGUCAAACACCCUGGCCAACUCAAGCUUAUCCUCUUCUUGUCAUCCGACUCAGACCUGGGAUUCUUGUGGGUGGAGCUACCAAAAUCUAAAGGAGAAGUGGUAUGUUCCUACUAGGGCCAGCGUGUGGCCGAGGUCUGGGAGCACCAUGGCUCUUCACGUGAUGUAAACAGUGUGCUCUGCAGUUAAACAACCAUGGGUACGUGUCCUGCAGCCUUCCUGGCACAUGAAACCUCCCUUUCUCUAGGCCUAAGGCUAGACCUCACCUAUCUCAGUAAUACCCCAAGGCCCAGGACCAGUGAGCACUUAAAUUCUGCGGUCUGUGUAGCUUUUUCUUGAAGAUCUCCAAGGACAAAGACUGUCCAAUGGCCUCUAGCAAGUCACACGGAGGAUUCUGGUCCCUGAGAUGGAAAGUGUGCAAUCCCUUCCAUUUGCCUUUUUUCUACUUGCUGCGGAUGGAGAGAGGUCUUACCAGUCCGAGGUCGCCUCUACACCCAUCUCAAGGAAUACAGACCAGCCCUGUCACUCUCUGACUGACCUACAAUAAUAUACAUUCUAGCAUAAAAUGGUUGCAGCCCAGGCCACUGAAAUGAUAAAAGGUGGCACCACGAAACGAUUAACCACAGGCACAUUUAUCAACCCUUCCCACAGAAAGAGGCUCAUUUCUAAACAGUGCCGUCAGCCAGACUAUUUCCAACCUAUACUCAAUUCCUAGACAACAGUCAUGGUUGCUGAAAUAACUGCAGCUAUUUCUAGCCGGGCAAAAUAAAUACAGGCUGAAAGAAAAGUAUAACUUGUAGUAAAAGAUCUAACACUAUUGCUCUUGAUUAAGGAUGCUCUUUGCUCUUCAGCAUCUUCUCCAGAACAGCUGGGGAGUGGCUCUCAGAAGCGGGUUGUUUUGCUUUUUGCUUUCAGGGCUUGUGUUUGUACGUCCUCCACACGCAGGACAGUUGCCCACACGGCCCAUUCUCUCGUUCCCUCAUCGACACGAUCUUUCCUCCUGCUUCCGGAUUCUCAUCCCAAGCUCAAAGGGAACAUGGAAACACAAAACCAAAGCAGUGGCGGCACUCCUUCCCUUGCUCGGUCCCAAACCAUGUUUCUGCCUUGCUCCACAAAAACCGAAGUGGCCAUGUGUUUUAGCGCCAGCAGACCCCACGGACAGAUACAGCGAGGAUCAGGGGCUGGUCAGGUGCUGUUCCACCCUGUUCAAAGUCGGACUUUACGUGAACAGAGCUGCAGGCACCACCACCCCCCCUCAGGGUCAACCAACCACAAGAAAGGUCUGGAUCCCACACUGCCCACAGAAGACGUUUCCUCUUAAUAUUGGGCUCAGACUCAGAUAGGAAUUUGGUAUGAAACUUGAGUUCUUGGGGUGCCUGGGCGGCUCGGUAGGUGAAGCGUCUGCCUCUGGCUCGGGUCAUGACCCCAGGACCCUGGGAUGGAGCCUGCAUCAAGC